rnacentral:tRNA from 1 species
GCCGCGUUAGCUCAAUGGGAGAGCAGUCGGUUUACACCCGGCGUACGGGAGUUCGAUUUUCUCUCACACGGUA